CAAAAAUAUAACUGCAAAAAAUGAUUGCGAAGACAACAAUUCGUUCGUAAUUUGUUUUACAUUUAGCAGCGCUAUCGGUGAAUUCAUUUCUGAUGAUUUUAACGCACU
rnacentral:sRNA from 1 species